GGGCCCGUAGCUCAGUGGUAGAGUGUUCCCUUCGCAUAGCUCAUCGACUUCCACCCAUCGGUCCGCUAAGGACCCUGGGUUAUUUCAGAGCUGCUUCGUGUCUGGGAAAAGUCCUGCGUUCGAACCGCAGCUGGUCCA